CUGGUGUCAGCCGCCGCGGUAAUACCAGCACCUCGAGUGGUCAGGACGUUUAUUGGGCCUAAAGCAUCCGUAGCCGGCUUUGCAAGUCUUCGGUUAAAUCCACCUGCUCAACAGAUGGGCUGCUGGAGAUACUACAAAGCUAGGGAGUGGGAGAGGCAGACGGUAUUCAGUGGGUAGGGGUAAAAUCCUCUGAUCCAUUGAGGACCACCAGUGGCGAAGGCGGUCUGCCAGAACACGUUCGACGGUGAGGGAUGAAAGCUGGGGGAGCAAACCGGAUUAGAUACCCGGGUAGUCCCAGCUGUAAACGAUGCAAACUCGGUGAUGCAUUGGCUUAUGGCCAAUGCAGUGCCGCAGGGAAGCCGUUAAGUUUGCCGCCGGGGAAGUACGGACGCAAGUCUGAAACUUAAAG
rnacentral:rRNA from 2 species